rnacentral:rRNA from 1 species
UGGGGAAUAUUGGACAAUGGGCGAAAGCCUGAUCCAGCCAUGCCGCGUGUGUGAAGAAGGUCUUCGGAUUGUAAAGCACUUUAAGUUGGGAGGAAGGGCAUUAACCUAAUACGUUAGUGUUUUGACGUUACCGACAGAAUAAGCACCGGCUAACUUCGUGCCAGCAGCCGCGGUAAUACGAAGGGUGCAAGCGUUAAUCGGAAUUACUGGGCGUAAAGCGCGCGUAGGUGGUUCGUUAAGUUGGAUGUGAAAGCCCCGGGCUCAACCUGGGAACUGCAUCCAAAACUGGCGAGCUAGAGUACGGUAGAGGGUGGUGGAAUUUCCUGUGUAGCGGUGAAAUGCGUAGAUAUAGGAAGGAACACCAGUGGCGAAGGCGACCACCUGGACUAAUACUGACACUGAGGUGCGAAAGCGUGGGGAGCAAACA